rnacentral:rRNA from 1 species
CCUACGGGGGGCAGCAGUGAGGAAUAUUGGACAAUGGGGGCAACCCUGAUCCAGCCAUGCCGCGUGAGUGAUGAAGGCCUUCGGGUUGUAAAGCUCUUUUAGUCGUGACGAUGAUGACGGUAGCGACAGAAAAAGCCCCGGCUAAAUUCGUGCCAGCAGCCGCGGUAAUACGAAUGGGGCAAGCGUUGUUCGGAAUCACUGGGCUUAAAGCGUACGCAGGCGGCCAUGCAAGUCAGAAGUGAAAUCCCUGGGCUUAACCCAGGAAUUGCUUUUGAAACUGCACGGCUAGAAUCCGGGAGAGGUUGGCGGAAUUCCUAGUGUAGCAGUGAAAUGCGCAGAUAUUAGGAGGAACACCAGUGGCGAAGGCGGCCAACUGGACCGGCAUUGACGCUCAUGUACGAAAGCGUGGGUAGCAAACAGGAUUAGAUACCCUAGUAGUC